UCCGGUUUGUCACCGGCAGUCUCGCAUGAGUCCCCAACUAAAUGCUGGCAACAUACGACGGGGGUUGCGCUCGUUGCGGGACUUAACCCAACAUCUCACAACACGAGCUGACGACAGCCAUGCAGCACCUCUCACUCCAUUUCCUUGCGGACACCCCAACCAUUACGUCGGGUUCGGAGGAGUUCAAGCCUAGGUAAGGUUCUGCGCGUUGCUUCGAAUUAAACCACAUAAUCCACCGCUUGUGCGGGCCCCCGUCAAUUUGUUUGAGUUUUAGUCUUGCGACCGUACUCCCCAGGCGGAGCACUUAAUGCGUUAGCUGCGUCACUGAAGGAGUCAAUACCUCCAAUAACUAGUGCUCAUCGUUUACGGCGUGGACUAC
rnacentral:misc_RNA from 1 species